UGGGCCGACCUGAGCACCUGGUGCUUUAUCCCGGCUCAUCCGAAAGCGCACGACGACCUCGCCAGGUCAAUACUCACUCAUCAGGUGAGUAUUGAUCGAGCUGGAAACAGAGGUGGGAGGCUCUGACGUGAGCCGCAAGCCGCUGAGCGCACAGUCAGCUUAAGGUCAUGUCAAACGCCAACGCAGAUGAAUUCGGCGUCUACCGUGUGUGAGCGUGGGGAACCAAAAAACUUGUUGCGUUAAGAGACACAGUGGCACAACAACUCGCCGCUGGAAUCUCAAAACAGAGUUGUCACUCUGCCAAAGAAAUGCAAGAUGGUCAGAAUAAUCGGCUUCAUUCAAGUUUCACUUUCACCUCAAACGCCUAUUGUGAUGUGUUUGAAUCAAAACUCUGCGAUGAAAGCUCAUACCAGUGAUGCUGUUUAAAACAUUGUGAUUUUAUUAAUAUUACGGGACAAAAUGUUCUGUGUGAUUACAACUAUUAUUAAGCUAAUUGUUUAAUAAAGCAUUUCGGUGACUUAACCCUCCUGUUAAGUUGCAGGUCAAAUUGA